rnacentral:rRNA from 1 species
AGCGGCGGAUGGGUGAGUAACACGUGGGGAACCUGCCCCUAAGUCUGGGAUACCAUUUGGAAACAGGUGCUAAUACCGGAUAAUAAAGCAGAUCGCAUGAUCAGCUUUUGAAAGGCGGCGUAAGCUGUCGCUAAGGGAUGGCCCCGCGGUGCAUUAGCUAGUUGGUAAGGUAACGGCUUACCAAGGCGACGAUGCAUAGCCGAGUUGAGAGACUGAUCGGCCACAUUGGGACUGAGACACGGCCCAAACUCCUACGGGAGGCAGCAGUAGGGAAUCUUCCACAAUGGACGCAAGUCUGAUGGAGCAACGCCGCGUGAGUGAAGAAGGUUUUCGGAUCGUAAAGCUCUGUUGUUGGUGAAGAAGGAUAGAGGUAGUAACUGGCCUUUAUUUGACGGUAAUCAACCAGAAAGUCACGGCUAACUACGUGCCAGCAGCCGCGGUAAUGCGUAGGUGGCAAGCGUUGUCCGGAUUUAUUGGGCGUAAAGCGAGCGCAGGCGGAAAAAUAAGUCUAAUGUGAAAGCCCUCGGCUUAACCGAGGAACUGCAUCGGAAGCUGUUUUUCUUGAGUGCAGAAGAGGAGAGUGGAACUCCAUGUGUAGCGGUGGAAUGCGUAGAUAUAUGGAAGAACACCAGUGGCGAAGGCGGCUCUCUGGUCUGCAACUGACGCUGAGGCUCGAAAGCAUGGGUAGCGAACAGGAUUAGAUACCCUGGUAGUCCAUGCCGUAAACGAUGAGUGCUAAGUGU